AUGGGAUAGUGGCGAACGGGUGAGUAUCACGUGAGAAACCUGCCCCAAAGAUGGGAAUAGCCCAAGGAAACCUGGAUUAAUACCCAAUAAUCUGUAAUCACCGCCUGGUGAACUCAGCAAACGCUCCGGCGCUUCGGGAGGGUCUCGCGGCCUAUCAGCUAGUUGGUGAGGUAAUGGCUCACCAAGGCAUCGACGGGUAGCUGGUCUGAGAGGACGAUCAGCCACACUGGGACUGAGACACGGCCCAGACUCCUACGGGAGGCAGCAGUGGGGAAUCUUGCGCAAUGGGCGAAAGCCUGACGCAGCAACGCCGCGUGGGGGAUGAAGGCUCUCGGGUCGUAAACCCCUUUCAGCAGGGACGAAAAUGACGGUACCUGCAGAAGAAGCGCCGGCCAACUACGUGCCAGCAGCCGCGGUAAUACGUAGGGCGCAAGCGUUGUCCGGAUUUAUUGGGCGUAAAGAGCUCGUAGGCGGUUUGGUAAGUCGGGUGUGAAAACUC
rnacentral:rRNA from 1 species